rnacentral:lncRNA from 1 species
AUGAGGAGACCCUUCAGUGGAGGAAUGGUGAGAAAAUAUCGGCUAUUUCCAGAAGCAUCUCUGGUCCAGCUGCCUCCAAAAGGUUUUUGUCAACAGUCCCCGUUUGUGCAGUUACCAUGUCCUCCUCAUAGGGUAGCUCCAUCACGGCAUCAAGACCGCCAGUCCAGGGCCAGCUCAGCAGACACAAAGUAUAAGAGAGCUUCCUGUGUACAGCUACCUUGCCCCAGUAAUCAUUUGGAGGGAGCUUCAGCUCUAACUUUCCCAUCCCAUCUAUUCCCGUUGUUAUCUUUUUCUAUAUUUCAAACUCCUCAAUCUUCAGCAUGGCUGCAGCAGCAACCACUGACUAAGCAGCCUUCAACAGCAUCACCACCAUUACAAGCACCACCACCAUCUCGAUCUGGGCUACAGGCUUGGCCUCAUGCUUGGCCUCAUACUCGACCUCAACCUCAGCCUCAGCUUCGACCUCUACAUCAUUCAGCUUUGAUUCCCUCUUCAAAGCAACUUCUAUACUUCAGUGCUCAGAAGGGCAAGAAACAAGCUGAGGUUCCUCCUUAUGGAGGACGUAGAGCUAAGACUGCCUGUGGGAAAACUUCAUUGCACCCAGUCUGUCCCCAAAGUGCCUCAGCUAUGCAAAGAAGGAACCCUGCUAAUAAGUUUCUAUAGCCUUGGCUGGGUCUGAAAGGCUACACGGUGACUUGAUUUCCAGGGUACAGGGACACAUGGCCAAGACUGCCAGCUCAUGCCUCUAAACAUUUGGGUCAAUUGCCUCCAGAGGAGGCCUGCAAAAGGAGCAUAUACUGUAUCCCUUAGACCGGACCUCAGCCUCAGUCAGCCUCCAUGUCUACAUCUAUAUUCAUUACUGACAACAUCUAAACCUCCAAUAGAAAUUCCAUUCUUCUUUGUGUGGUGGACCAAGAACCAGGUUGAGGUUCCUCAUUAAGGAGAAUGUAGGGAUAAGAUUACAUAUGUAAUAACUUCAGUUGCACCUAAUAUACCCACAAAGUGUCUUGCCUGUGUGAGAAAAGAACCUUGGUUAUGAAACUAGAACAAUACCACGUCAAGGUCACCAAUUGAGUGUUGUUACUAUACUUUUGAGAUGUUUCCACCUAAACCACAAAGCAAAGAUUAUCUCGACUUGAAUCUUGUUCCAUGGUCACAGAGUUGAAAAAUACCAACUUGCUCUAGAACAAAGUUCUCUUUCUGCUGGGGAUAGUUAAAAUGUUAUGGUUUUCUCAUCAUAUUCCUGGACCUCAAAACCUGACCCAAACAACAAAGAUACAUAGAAGAGCUCUCACUUCCUGAUUUAUUAAUGGCUUCUUCAGUAAUUCCUAUAAAUCAUACCAGAGCCUCAAAUACUUGGGCAUCAUGUGCAUGCAUGCAUAGACUAUGUUAUUCAUAGGCACUUAUAAUUAGAAUCUGCUCCCCAGAACUUUAAAUCCCAGCAUCUCAGUUUCAUUCUCCUGUUAUAUCCUUACAUUUUGGAGAUAAAGUUUGUGUGUGACCCCACUCCACUCUUUUCCUGCAAAUGCAGCUGGGAAAACUUUUCUUUACUCAGGCUUUUAUUUUUGUCCUUUUAUUUCUUCUACUUCAAGUG